GCGCCCAUAGCUCAAUGGUUAGAGCACCAAGCUUAUACCUUGGCGGCUCCAGGUUCGAGUCCUGGUGGGCGCA
rnacentral:tRNA from 1 species